UGGGGAAUAUUGGACAAUGGGCGAAAGCCUGAUCCAGCGACGCCGCGUGGGUGAAGAAGGCCUUCGGGUUGUAAAGCCCUUUAAGCCGGGACGAAAAAGCUACACCUAACACGUGUGGCCUUGACGGUACCGGAAGAAUAAGCACCGGCUAACUCUGUGCCAGCAGCCGCGGUAAUACGGAGGGGGCUAGCGUUGUUCGGAAUUACUGGGCGUAAAGCGUACGUAGGCGGCUUUGUAAGUUAGAGGUGAAAGCCCGGGGCUCAACUCCGGAAUUGCCUUUAAGACUGCAUCGCUUGAAUCAUGGAGAGGUUAGUGGAAUUCCGAGUGUAGAGGUGAAAUUCGUAGAUAUUCGGAAGAACACCAGUGGCGAAGGCGACUAACUGGACAUGUAUUGACGCUGAGGUACGAAAGCGUGGGGAGCAAA
rnacentral:rRNA from 1 species